rnacentral:rRNA from 1 species
UACGUAGGGUGCAAGCGUUGUUCGGAAUUACUGGGCGUAAAGCGCACGUAGGCGGAUAUUUAAGUCAGGGGUGAAAUCCCGCAGCUCAACUGCGGAACUGCCUUUGAUACUGGGUAUCUUGAGUAUGGAAGAGGUAAGUGGAAUUCCGAGUGUAGAGGUGAAAUUCGUAGAUAUUCGGAGGAACACCAGUGGCGAAGGCGGCUUACUGGUCCAUUACUGACGCUGAGGUGCGAAAGCGUGGGGAGCAAACAGG